CCUACGGGAGGCAGCAGUGAGGAAUAUUGGUCAAUGGGCGUAAGCCUGAACCAGCCAAGUCGCGUGAGGGAUGAAGGUUCUAUGGAUCGUAAACCUCUUUUAUAAGGGAAUAAAGUGCGGUACGUGUCCUGUUUUGUAUGUACCUUAUGAAUAAGGAUCGGCUAACUCCGUGCCAGCAGCCGCGGUAAUACGGAGGAUCCGAGCGUUAUCCGGAUUUAUUGGGUUUAAAGGGUGCGUAGGCGGUCUUUUAAGUCAGCGGUGAAAUGCUGUGGCUCAACCAUAGAAUUGCCGUUGAAACUGGGGGGCUUGAGUAUGUUUGCGGCAGGCGGAAUGCGUGGUGUAGCGGUGAAAUGCUUAGAGAUCACACAGAACCCCGAUUGCGAAGGCAGUCUGCCAAGCCAUGACUGACGCUGAUGCACGAAAGCGUGGGGAUCAAACAGGAUUAGAUACCCCAGUAGUC
rnacentral:rRNA from 1 species